rnacentral:lncRNA from 7 species
UUAAAGGUAGAUUAUAAGCAUUAAUAUUAGAAGAGGUAUUUUUGUUUCCAUUUUGAUUAACAGAAAUGCAUUAAUUUAACUGAAGAAAAACUCAUACACUUCAUUACAAGCAGAUUGAUAUUUCACUAGGACACAGGAAACAGAAAAUAGAGUCAGCUAGGAAAAGAAACUCAGAAAUCUAAUGCCAAGUAAACCAAAUGUGUUUCCUGUUUAACCCAAAAUUGAUUUUUCUCUCCCCUCCCCCUAAUCAAAACCCCUGAGCGUACACCUGUGCCAGCAUCAGAAGCAGGAAAAGAUGAAGAGCAUAAAUCUGCUAGACAGUGCUGAUGCCCUUCCUCCACAUCACCCUGACAGCAUGUUUCCAGCCAUGCCUUGUGCCAGAGUGAGCAUCCAUGCAGAUGUACAUAGAGCUUUUAUAUUUGCUUGGGCUGACUUCCAGUGCUGUGGUCCAGCUUACCUUGUGCUCCGUGAACACUCGUGACAACAAGGGGAAAAAUGGAGGUAGAAGGGGGUAAGGGUGCCCCUUUUCUCAGCAGCCUGUUUUUAGAGCAACUAGGGCUAUCUACAGUUUUUUGCAUUGCCUUUUCUGAAAGGCUUCUGGUGCAGGGGCAGAAUGCACCUUUUGCAGAGGCUCUAAAGGCUCUCAGCAUCUAGCUCAGUUUUGUAAAACAAAUUGGUCUUGAAGUCUCAGUGUAAACGUGUCCUGAGCAAUGAAUGUACUUACUGUGCAAAGAAGAGAAUAAUUUGUAAGUGAGAGAAAUACAAGCUGAUCUUGCUGACCAAUUAAGUUACUGGAAAGUGGCCAUCUGUGCUAGGAAGCCAGAAAAGCAUGAUAAGAAAUGUAGUAUGUGAGGUCCAUCUAAAUCAUUUAUUUUUUAUCAAGGAAAAAGAGUUUGAGGUUUCCUACCAUCAGUGCACCAGCAGUUAUGUUCAGCUGUUGAAAUCCAAAGCCACUCAGCUUUGACUUAAAGCAACGCUUCAUGGGAUGCUGGGCAAUUUCUUGGAGUAAGAGGUCCUAUAACUACAGUAUUAAGGGAUGGCACCAAAUAUGCCAUGACGUUUUUUUCUCCUGCCUUUCAGAGAAAUGCCCUACAACUGACAUAAAAACACCCCCCAGUAGGUUGGUGUUGUGCUGCUGCUUCGCUUUUUUAGCAAGAGAGCAAAAGGAGAAAGAAAGCAUAGAGUGUCCACAUUUUUCUCCCAGUGCCACCUGCACACUUUGAGGGAAAAUGACCAGGACCAUCACACUACAUGCACACCUGGACAUCCUGGUUCCCUCUCAUUCAGCUGAAUUUCUUAGGAAGAUGGGAACACACACACUUCACAAUUUACAAAAAGUAACAUCAGAAGCUAUAGGAAAUGCAGAUCCCCUCUCUUUUCUUCUUUCUUCAAUCAGGGUAUGGCAGUUUUUGUUUGCUCAUCUCUGGGAACGGCCAACUCACCUACCUGCUCGAGAGUGAAUGAUGGAAACAAAGGUGAACUGUGCACAAGUGUUAGGGUAGAAAUUUUUCCUGUCUCUUGCCAUAGACUCUGAUGUGGAAAUAAUACAGAGGAAAAGGUCUCAAAGAUAAUUCUUGGCACUAACACGGCAAAAUUAUUAGCAACACAGUGCUAUUUGUGGUAGUUUUUAUGUAUAGAGUACUCUUUUCUGGGAAGGCUGAUGCUGUUGGUGUGCUGGCCACCCUGCUAGCCUGAGGACUUAUAUUUGUCCAGAGAUACCAUUUUGGAGUGGUAAGGCAAGCUUGUCCCCACAAAAUACUGCAUAGCUGUGCUGGAUGAAUUCAUAUUUCUGAGUGCAAGGUAAUUGGGAGUCUGUUCAGGUGUUGAAGGGUAGAGCUCUGUGCCCAGCUUCUGGAUAGAGGGAAGCUAAACUGCUGAUUUGGCUGAAAAGUGUUGUGGGAAGACUGUGCUGCAUCCCUACCACAGAAACUCUAUUAAAUAAGUUAAUCAAAAAACAUUACAUACAAACCUGUUUGCUCAGUGAGUUAAUGAAGCUAAGGUGUGACCCUUUCAGCAGCCAGUAACAUCAAGGGUCAGGUGUGUCUGGCUGCUUUUAAAAAGGCAAUCUGAAUUAGGAGGUGCUCAUUUACUGUUGGGCACAUGAGGAUGGCAUUAUUCUAGAUAAAGCCUCAAAGUCUGGCAUCUGUAGAAGGAGCUUUAGGUUACACCCCUGAGGGGCUCAGUGUUCACCUCAGAGAGAGGCUGAGCAAAGAAGCUGUCAGCUGCUUGAUGGAUUCUCUUGUCCUCAUUUUGAUGGAGUACUUCAGUGUUGUUCACUGCACUGAAAGGAUCUGUAGCAUCCUGUUGUAUUGCCUCUCUUCAAGGUUUUUGGAAUGAUGAAGACACCAAGAUCCAGGCAGAAGUACUUGUGAUGGUUGUCAAGAUAAGCUGAGGGUAGCUUCUGCACUGAGGUGCUGGAUCUCCAGCAUUUUCCACUGAUAUACAAACUCUUACCUCUUACUAAAGAACAGGACUAUGGUCUUUCCACUUCCAUGUGCUGAAGUCAGCUGUGGAGGAGAACGCUGCACUUUUCGUGUCAAAGGAACAUUCUUUGCAAGGUACUUUGCUUCUUCAGCAGAUAAAUUCACUAGAGGAUUGGAGAACUGGAAAGCAACAAGGGCUUGAUGCUGUGGCUUAU